GACACAAAUAUGGCAACAAUAGACACUGAGGACUACUACAGGUUGGAGGGUGGCCAGGGAAAUGGUUGAAAAACUAACUAUUGGGUAAUAUCUAUCUCAUUAUCUGAGUGAUAGGAUCACCCCUAAACUUCGGCAUCACACUUAUAACAAAGUAACAAACCUGCACAUGUACCUCCCAAAUGUAAGACAAAAGUUGAAAUUAUGAAAAAUAUUAAAUAAGUUUUUCUUUAUAGACUAUAAGUUCCUUUAUGUGGUCUUGCUUAUUGUUUUUUAAAUUGAAGGUUGAAGUCUUUUGUUUUGUUUAGUAGAACUUCAGUUUAUAGAGCUUCAGAAAAUAAAAUAGUUUUAAUUUCAAUGAUCCCAAGCCAGAAUGGUGGGAACAAAUUGGAAGUGUUAGAAUGUCACAGCCAGAUAUUGGAGAAAACUAAAAAUUUAGAAUUCAGUCCAGAUUUAAAAAAAUAAAAGAAAAGAAACUCAAAACAAUCAACAAGGAUAGAAUUUAAUAACAGGUGCACUACAGUUUUUCUCCUGAAACUUAAUUUUUCCUCUCCAUCCCUCUAUUUUUACCAAAGAUAAACACAGAAAGACUAAUUUGUUUAUAAAGUAAGUUUAGUCUAAUUAACUUGGCCUGAUUAUUUGUAUAAAAUAUAGUAAAAAUAAUUAUUUACCAUAUAAGCUCUUUAGAAGUUGGCUUUGCUGAAACUUUUUAUAAGGAAUCUCAGAUUAGAUUUUUAAAAGCCUCCCAAGGCUUAGGAGCCAAGCCAAGGAUAUCCUCAAAUUCUGUCUGUAAUAUCUGUAUGAAUUGGGUGAAUUCUUCUCUUCUUGAGGUUUUAAAAAUAUCUUUAGAUUGCUGGGUCUGUCAGAAAGUGACAUUCUUGAGCUAGGCAAUGACUUGUACCUGUAAUCCCAACUACUCAGGAAGCUGAGGCAGGAGGAUUGCUUGAGAUUAGGAAUUUGAGACCAACCCAGACAAGAGAGGAAAACCACAUCUCUAAGAUGAAUAAAUAAAUAAAUAAAUAAAUAAGACAUUCUUUACUUACCACAGGGUUACGGAGGGUGUCAGAGAACUGUAUGGACAAGAUACCGGCCAGUUUUUCCUAGAGUCUUUUUAUUGGCUCCAGAAGAGUCAACCAAUUUCCAUUCCUCAAAGCAGUCUAAUCAUAUCUGAAAAUAUGACAUUUCAGUAACAGCCAUGUUAAAAUAACCAGUGUUUUCAAUUGUCCUGUU
rnacentral:lncRNA from 1 species